rnacentral:rRNA from 1 species
GACGAACCGUGCGAACGUUGUUCGGAAUCACUGGGCUUAAAGGGCGCGUAGGCGGGCUCUCAAGUCAGGGGUGAAAUCUUUCGGCCCAACCGGAAAAGCGCUUCUGAUACUGAGAGUCUCGAGGGAGGUAGGGGUCGGUGGAACUGGUGGUGGAGCGGUGAAAUGCGUAGAUAUCACUAGGAACGCCGGUGGCGAAAGCGACCGACUGGACCUCUUCUGACGCUGAGGCGCGAAAGCCAGGGGAGCGAACGGG